GGACGAACGCUGGGCGGCGUGCCUAACACAUGCAAGUCGAGCGGGGAUAUGGAGGAGCUUGCUCCGAAGUAUUCUAGCGGCGGACGGGUGAGUAACGCGUGAGCAACCUGCCUCAAACAGGGGGAUAACGCAUCGAAAGAUGUGCUAAUACCGCGUAAGACCACAGUGCCACAUGGCACAGGGGUCAAAGGAGCAAUCCGCUUUGAGAUGGCCUCGCGUCCGAUUAGCUGGUUGGUGAGGUAACGGCCCACCAAGGCGACGAUCGGUAGCCGGACUGAGAGGUUGAACGGCCACAUUGGGACUGAGACACGGCCCAGACUCCUACGGGAGGCAGCAGUGGGGAAUAUUGCACAAUGGGGGAAACCCUGAUGCAGCGACGCCGCGUGGAGGAAGAAGGUCUUCGGAUUGUAAACUCCUGUUGUUGGGGAAGAUAAUGACGGUACCCAACAAGGAAGUGACGGCUAACUACGUG
rnacentral:rRNA from 1 species